UGGGGAAUAUUGGACAAUGGGCGAAAGCCUGAUCCAGCCAUGCCGCGUGUGUGAAGAAGGUCUUCGGAUUGUAAAGCACUUUAAGUUGGGAGGAAGGGCAGCAAGCGAAUACCUUGCUGUUUUGACGUUACCGACAGAAUAAGCACCGGCUAACUCUGUGCCAGCAGCCGCGGUAAUACAGAGGGUGCAAGCGUUAAUCGGAAUUACUGGGCGUAAAGCGCGCGUAGGUGGUUCGUUAAGUUGAAUGUGAAAGCCCCGGGCUCAACCUGGGAACUGCAUCCAAAACUGGCGAGCUAGAGUAGGGCAGAGGGUGGUGGAAUUUCCUGUGUAGCGGAGAAAUGCGUAGAUAUAGGAAGGAACACCAGUGGCGAAGGCGACCACCUGGGCUCAUACUGACACUGAGGUGCGAAAGCGUGGGGAGCAAACAGG
rnacentral:rRNA from 1 species